GACGCUUUGGAAUCAUCCUCUAUUGCCGCCAUAGAUGAUGAAAAUCAACGGAUCCAAAACCGAAAUAGAGAGAGAAAUUUUUAAUACUCGAAAGAGUCUGCGUGUAUGUGCCUGAAAAAUAGGGAUCGAUCGAAACCGAACCCUAAACCAGACCCUAAGCUACGAUCUGAAACCAGAAACUCUGAUUUUCUAUCGCUAAAGAAUUAAGAAAUGAAGGACUUAGCUAAUCUAAAACAUGGAACAAAGAAAACCUCAAUUGGCGUAGCUUGAAGGAGAAGCAUAUCAUAGAUUCGUGUUGAUUAAUGCAGAGUCGCAGCUAGUAGCAACAAUAUCUUAGAGUCCCAAUGGUGUUGCACCAAGUUGCCACGGUGGCGCAACGAACACGCAAUGAAACACAACCGUGGGGUACUGAAACGCCACGGUGGCGCAACGAGACGCACUAGUGGGGGUCAGAGUAGAGGGUGGAUCGAAAGCAAGGAGAGCGAGAGGAAAAAAUGAUUAUGUUUUUAAGUAAAAAUAUUUUUUUAUUAAAUU
rnacentral:lncRNA from 1 species